GUGAAAUCAGGAAAGCAUUCGUAACAGGUCCAUCUGUGCCGACAGCGUGUAAGAAAAGACAUGUUCCAUGUCGUAAAAAGGAAAGUAAAGAGAAAAAGGCUAAAGGCUUAUCAUCAUGAGGGGUCGUGUAUGCCAGCAGACAUGCAGAAAGGGACCGAAGCCCACUUCACCAGCCCCAUGAGUUCCAGCUGUGUUCUGGAACGAUCUGUCUUAGUUGGAAGCUACUAUGGUUCUUUGUUCAG